AAAUGAAUAGACGGGGGCCCGCACAAGCAGUGGAGUAUGUGGUUUAAUUCGAAGCAACGCGAAGAACCUUACCAGGGCUUGACAUCCCGCGCAUACCGUGGAGACACGGGAAGCCCUUCGGGGCGCGGAGACAGGUGGUGCAUGGUUGUCGUCAGCUCGUGUCGUGAGAUGUUGGGUUAAGUCCCGCAACGAGCGCAACCCUUGUUGUCAGUUGCCAUCAUUAAGUUGGGCACUCUGGCAAUACUGCCGGUGACAAAUCGGAGGAAGGUGGGGACGAGGUCAAAUCAUCAUGCCCCUUAUGUCCUGGGCUACACACGUACUACAAUGGCUAAAACAGAGGGAAGCAAAGGAGUAAUCCGGAGCAAAGCCCCAAAAAUAGUCUCAGUUCGGAUUGUGGGCUGAAACCCGCCCACAUGAAGUCGGAAUUGCUAGUAAUGGCAGGUCAGCAUACUGCCGUGAAUACGUUCCCGGGCCUUGUACACACCGCCCGU
rnacentral:rRNA from 1 species